rnacentral:rRNA from 1 species
CCUACGGGUGGCAGCAGUGAGGAAUAUUGGUCAAUGGACGAGAGUCUGAACCAGCCAAGUAGCGUGAAGGAUGACUGCCCUAUGGGUUGUAAACUUCUUUUAUAUGGGAAUAAAAUGUUCCACGUGUGGGAUUUUGUAUGUACCAUAUGAAUAAGGAUCGGCUAACUCCGUGCCAGCAGCCGCGGUAAUACGGAGGAUCCGAGCGUUAUCCGGAUUUAUUGGGUUUAAAGGGAACGUAGGUGGAUUGUUAAGUCAGGUGUGAAAGUUUGGGGCUCAACCGUAAAAUUGCAGUUGAAACUGGCAGUCUUGAGUACAGUAGAGGUGGGCGGAAUUCGUGGUGUAGCGGUGAAAUGCUUAGAUAUCACGAAGAACUCCGAUUGCGAAGGCAGUUCACUGGACUGCAACUGACACUGAGGCUCGAAAGUGUGGGUAUCAAACAGGAUUAGAUACCCUAGUAGUC